GGAAAGGGCAGUUCACCAGGACAUCCUGCCAAGAUUCUUACAUUUACCAAGGGGCAGAGUAGUGAACAGACACAGAAGGCUGCUGAUUUUAGAGCAAGGACUUGAGGUGGAAGCGGCAAGAGAAUAAAUCCUGGAGUCCAAGGCCUGAAACAGAUUUUACUUCCUUCUCAGCUUUACUGAAAGGCUAGUCCUGUUCAGCACCUUAUUGUUUCAUUGGAGAAAGGCAUUAUUCUUCCUUCAGAAUCACCUGCUUCUCAAACCUACUCUUGAAGAGGAAGACGUUGUAAACAG
rnacentral:lncRNA from 1 species